UCCACGUAAAAUUGACAUAUUGGUUGGAGCUGGAUCCUACACACAAAUUUGAUUACGUGACAUUCCAUAUUGGAUAUUGGAUUUGACGUCUUACGUCUUUCAGGCAGACAGAGUCUGAGACCAUGCCGUCGGGACAGAGAGAGCGAGCGAGCAGAGAGAGAAGAGAGACAGGGAGGGAGAGAGAUAGGGAUUUGGUGAGAGGAAAGCAUGCGGCUUGUAGGCAGACAAAGUCACAAGAGGUGUACGAUUCGAGGGAAAGGGAGAGGGAGACAGCGCGAAAGAGAGUGGGAGAUGGAGGAGUAAGGAUCGCUCGCUGAGGGUUUCGCAGUUGAGAGGCCAUGCCGAUGGAGAUAGAGAUAGAGAUAGGAGAGGGAGAGGGAGAGAGGAAGACAGAGACAGUGCGACAUAGAGAGAAGGAAAGGGAAGAGUGGGGAUCUCAGCGCCAUUGCUGCAGAUCCUUGAUCUUCUUCGAUCCCAUCUCCGUGUUCUUCUCAGCCUCUCACAGUCGCAGCAUCACUCGCCCACUCACUCACUCACUACAGGUACACCUCUUAAACUCUCGCUUACUCUCUCUCCACUGAAAUUUGAAGGUGAUUUUCCAACCCUAAAUUGAUAUAUUUCAUACCUUGAUUUUAUCUUAAUUUAUCUGGAAUUGAUCUGCAUAUGUGUAGUAUAGAUAGUUUUAUCUAAUGUUGUAGAAUCCAUGUCCUAUUCAGAAAUUCUGAGAUGGUGAAGGUUACGGAAAAAUUGGAAGGUAUAUAGAAAUUCCAAUAUGAGUUCUCCAGCCGAUUUGAGGACACACAGGUGUACCAAUGCCUCCAUUUUCCGGCGAAACAUCACCACAGAACCACCACCACCCACUCCGUUCUGCUCAGGACACACAUGAGAAGGCCUUUCACUGUGCAGUGGCUACUGCCACUGUUCAUCUGCUUCUCUUAAGAGACUCAUUACUCCCGACCUCGAGAGAGAACGUGGUAGCAGCAGCAGUGGGAAAGGUCUUUUCCUGUCUCUGUGAUUUUCUUUGCCCUUCAAAUCUCUAGGGUUUGGCUUUGGCUCCGUUAGUU